rnacentral:rRNA from 1 species
GCUUAACCGGAGAAGUGCAUCGGAAACUGGGAGACUUGAGUGCAGAAGAGGACAGUGGAACUCCAUGUGUAGCGGUGGAAUGCGUAGAUAUAUGGAAGAACACCAGUGGCGAAGGCGGCUGUCUAGUCUGUAACUGACGCUGAGGCUCGAAAGCAUGGGUAGCGAACAGGAUUAGAUACCCUGGUAGUCCAUGCCGUAAACGAUGAGUGCUAAGUGUUGGAGGGUUUCCGCCCUUCAGUGCUGCAGCUAACGCAUUAAGCACUCCGCCUGGGGAGUACGACCGCAAGGUUGAAACUCAAAGGAAUUGACGGGGGCCCGCACAAGCGGUGGAGCAUGUGGUUUAAUUCGAAGCUACGCGAAGAACCUUACCAGGUCUUGACAUCUUCUGCCAAUCUUAGAGAUAAGACGUUCCCUUCGGGGACAGAAUGACAGGUGGUGCAUGGUUGUCGUCAGCUCGUGUCGUGAGAUGUUGGGUUAAGUCCCGCAACGAGCGCAACCCUUAAUAUCAGUUGCCAGCAUUCAGUUGGGCACUCUGGUGAGACUGCCGGUGACAAACCGGAGGAAGGUGGGGAUGACGUCAAAUCAUCAUGCCCCUUAUGACCUGGGCUACACACGUGCUACAAUGGACGGUACAACG